rnacentral:rRNA from 1 species
CCGCAUAACGUCUUCGGACCAAAGUGGGGGACCUUCGGGCCUCAUGCCAUCAGAUGUGCCCAGAUGGGAUUAGCUAGUAGGUGGGGUAAUGGCUCACCUAGGCGACGAUCCCUAGCUGGUCUGAGAGGAUGACCAGCCACACUGGAACUGAGACACGGUCCAGACUCCUACGGGAGGCAGCAGUGGGGAAUAUUGCACAAUGGGCGCAAGCCUGAUGCAGCCAUGCCGCGUGUAUGAAGAAGGCCUUCGGGUUGUAAAGUACUUUCAGCGAGGAGGAAGGCGGUAAGGUUAAUAACCUUAUCGAUUGACGUUACUCGCAGAAGAAGCACCGGCUAACUCCGUGCCAGCAGCCGCGGUAAUACGGAGGGUGCAAGCGUUAAUCGGAAUUACUGGGCGUAAAGCGCACGCAGGCGGUCUGUCAAGUCGGAUGUGAAAUCCCCGGGCUCAACCUGGGAACUGCAUUCGAAACUGGCAGGCUAGAGUCUUGUAGAGGGGGGUAGAAUUCCAGGUGUAGCGGUGAAAUGCGUAGAGAUCUGGAGGAAUACCGGUGGCGAAGGCGGCCCCCUGGACAAAGACUGACGCUC